CUCUGUGAUGCCCAAGAGAACUCUCUACAGGAUGAGCCUGUGCACUAGAGAAGGGGUUACAGAGGCUACGGCCAGAGGAAGCUUUGUGACAGCUGCGCCUAGGGAGAGUCUUCACGACCCCUGUGCUUGGAGAAUGUACGACCGAAGGAGAGGCUGGGUACAAUUUACCAGCAGAACCCUACAGAGGAAAAGACCACAACCACAGACAAAGGAGACCAGGAAGCAGAGAAAUCCUGAGGACAAGGCCCAUGUACACCAGCAGUCUGCUGUUUGUGACCAAAAUGACCAUUUGGAGACAUCAAACAACCAGUCCUCAACCAGCAACUGACCAGUAAUUUGUCCUAUUGGUCAAAUUACUUUUGCAUGUUUAGAUCUUGCCUCAGAAGAUUUUGUGGUCUAGCAGAUGGCUUCAGGAAAAUCACGUCUACUUUACAC
rnacentral:lncRNA from 1 species